rnacentral:rRNA from 1 species
AUCAAAAACAUCACCUCUAGCAUAACUAGUAUUAGAGGCACUGCCUGCCCAGUGACCAAUCGUUAAACGGCCGCGGUAUCCUGACCGUGCAAAGGUAGCAUAAUCACUUGUUCUCUAAAUAAGGACUUGUAUGAAUGGCCACACGAGGGUUUUACUGUCUCUUACUUUUAAUCAGUGAAAUUGACCUCCCCGUGAAGAGGCGGGGAUAACGAAACAAGACGAGAAGACCCUAUGGAGCUUUAAUUAACCAACCCAAAAACCACAAUCUAAACCACCAAGGGAUAAAAAAGCUUUACAUGGGUUGGCAAUUUCGGUUGGGGUGACCUCGGAGCAUAAAAAACCCUCCGAGUGAUUAAAGCCUAGGCCUACCAGCCAAAGCACACUAUCACUUAUUGAUCCAAAAUAUUGAUCAACGGAACAAGUUACCCUAGGGAUAACAGCGCAAUCCUAUUCUAGAGUUCAUAUCGACAAUAGGGUUUACGACCUCGAUGUUGGAUCAGGACAUCCUAAUGGUGCAGCCGCUAUUAAGGGUUCGUUUGUUCAACGAUUAAAGUCCUACGUGAUCUGAGUU